rnacentral:rRNA from 1 species
UACGUAGGCAGCAAGCGUUGUUCGGAAUUACUGGGCGUAAAGAGUGUGUAGGCGGUGCUCUAAGUUUGGUGUGAAAUCUCCCGGCUCAACUGGGAGGGUGCGCCGAAUACUGAAUGACUCGAGUGCGGGAGAGGAGAGUGGAAUUCCUGGUGUAGCGGUGAAAUGCGUAGAUAUCAGGAGGAACACCGGCGGUGUAGACGGCUCUCUGGACCGUAACUGACGCUGAGACACGAAAGCGUGGGUAGCAAACAGG